CUCCGGUCCGCUGCGCGCAAAAACAGUGGAGCUGGAAAAAACACGACCGACCACCUGGACUUUACUCAGCUUUAGAUGACUGUAUCUCAGUCUGAUGAGACUCUAAUUACAGGUGACUUCAGGACUCACCUGUGGACGACCUUCUA